AAAAAAAUGCAAAAUGGACAAUUUAAUAAUCACGCCGAAAGCGGAGCGCGUCCUCCAGAUCCCAUAUCAGAUAGGCAGAGUUGGAGAGUGCUUCGGUGCGCGAGGCGCGCGCGGCGCGACGCGGGCGCACCUCAUCUCGACGAUACCUUUCGGCGCACUUGUGUCGCACCGCGCCGCGUCGCGCCGCCGACCGCCGACCGUCGACCGUCCCCGUCACCCGUCACCACCGGUGAAACGCUGGUAAACCCUCGCGCGACGCGAGCGCGACGCAAAGCGGUAAGCACGGCGCACGGCCAGGAGUGUCAGCCAGCAUCUCCGAGAACGCGCAGUCGCGCGCCAAUCCUGUCGGGUGGGAGGUGUGAUCAGCUGCGUGCACACGAGGAAAACGAGAUGUUCGUCCUGCAGAGAUCUAUAUUAUCGGCUAGUAGCAGAAAUUGUGGAGGAUCAUGGACACGAGCGUUGCCACCUUUGCAUAUUGCCGUAAAGGAUAUUCAACAAAGAGACAUCCACGAGGUUUCGGGAGAUGUAAUACCAAUAAAUAUGGUCAAGGGUAUCGGACAUCUCAGAGAUCCUCGAUUGAAUAAGGGUUUGGCGUUUACCCUGAAGGAAAGACUAGCCCUCGGGAUACAUGGAUUACAGCCGCCUAGAUUUAAAACGCAGGAGGAACAGCUGGCUCUGUGCAAAGCCUCAGUAAUGAAAUACUCGGAGGAUCUGAAUCGAUAUUUGUAUCUCGUGGAGCUUCAGGAGAGGAACGAAAGAUUAUUUUUUCGCUUGUUAAGCGAAAACAUCGAGCAGAUGAUGCCGAUUGUCUAUACACCUACCGUUGGUUUGGCUUGCCAAAAGUUCGGUGUGAUAUAUCGUAGACCUCGCGGACUUUUCAUUACUAUAUAUGAUAAAGGCCAUAUUUACGAGAUCUUGAAUAAUUGGCCGGAGCAAGCAGUGCGGGCCAUCUGUGUUACGGAUGGCGAGCGAAUUUUAGGUCUUGGCGACCUUGGGGCUUGUGGUAUGGGUAUUCCCGUUGGAAAACUAGCACUUUAUACAGCUUUGGCCGGCAUCAAACCACAUCAAUGUCUUCCAAUCACUAUCGAUGUUGGCACUAAUAACGAACAGCUAAGAAACGAUCCUCAUUAUAUCGGUCUUAACAAGCCUAGAAGUCAAGGUGCCGAAUAUGAUGAAUUGAUCGACGAAUUUAUGGCUGCCUGCGUGCAAAAGUACGGACAAAACGUUCUUAUUCAAUUUGAAGACUUCGGAAACCAUAAUGCCUUCCGUUUCUUAGACAAAUAUAGAAACAAAUACUGCACGUUCAAUGAUGAUAUACAAGGUACUGCUGCGGUUGCAGUGGCUGGAAUCUUAGCGUCACAAAGGAUAACUAAAAAAAGAAUGGCGGAUAAUAAGUUCGUCUUCCUGGGCGCUGGAGAGGCAGCUAUUGGAAUAGCUGAUCUUUGUGUCAAAGCGAUAGAAGCUGACGGUUGUACGCAGCAGCAGGCGCGCGACAGUAUUUGGAUGAUGGAUAUCGACGGGUUACUCGUGAAGAAUCGGCCCGAAGGUAAUUUGGAGGGCCACAAAAUCUGGUACGCGAAAGACCACAAAGUGAUGAAGACGUUAAUCGAAGUUGUGAAAGAGAUCAAACCUACCGUCCUGAUAGGCGCUUCGGCGGCGGCGGGGGCGUUUACUCCCGAAGUCUUGAAAGAGAUGGCGAAAAACAACGAGAGACCGCUAAUCUUCGCUCUAAGUAAUCCAACUAGCAAGGCUGAAUGUACAGCGCAGCAGGCGUACGAUCACACCGAUGGUAGAUGUGUAUUCUCUUCAGGCUCGCCAUUCGGCGAAGUAACAUACAAUGGAAAGACGUACAAGCCUGGUCAGGGUAAUAACGCAUACAUCUUCCCUGGUAUUGCUUUAGGUGUUAUCGCAACCGGCGUGCAUCACAUCACCGAAGAUUUGUUCUUGAUUUCGGCACAGACUGUCGCCGAUCACGUAAAAAAUGAGGAUCUCGAAAGGGGUAGCGUCUAUCCGCCAUUAAAUAAUAUACGCGAGUGUUCUAUCGACAUCGCGAUUAAAAUAGCCGAUUAUGCCUAUGCCAAAGGCGGUUUGGCAAGCGAAUAUCCAGAGCCGAAAGACAAGCGGCAAUUCAUCAUAAGCAAGAUGUACGACGCCAACUACGAUAGUCCACUGCCAAAUCUGUACGAGUGGCCGGGUGAUUAUGCCAAACCGCGUAUUUUGCCGGAAAAAGACACAGUAGAAAUCCGUCACAAUUUAAAACAUCUGUAACGGAUUUCAUCAGCCGGAAUAUAGUUGGAGGCUAUCAUUAUUAUCUUUAACGUUAAAAAUAUAGAUGUCUCUUCCAAUUCAUAGUCACUCACGGCAUAUGCACGCAGCAAAACAACUUGUAAACAGUUUUAACCAUUAUAACGCGUUGGCAAGUCUAAACUUUAAACAUGAGACGACCACUUCUCAAUUUAAAUUCUUGCAGUUAGAAAAUAAAAACUGUUAUCGUGGAUGAUUACACAAUAUUGUAUUCUUUAGUAUUAAGAAAUCACAAUCUAUCGAUGUUUCUUGCGUUUAAAUGUACUCGAUAAAUACGUACUUAUUUAAUAUAGUAUGAUAUAGUGAUGUUUUACACCUCAAAAUCAUAUUUGAAUAGUAUACAGCUAUUCACUACUCACUAACUUCGAUAGGACAUGGAUUGUCUAAUAUUCCAGUACAUUACAAAUUAUUUUUUUUUAAGAUAUUUAUAAAAAAAAAACAAAGUUAUUUCUGAUAAUAUUCUGUAUUACGUGACAUGCAUAGUAUGUGAUACUUUAUUUCGUAAUUUAUUUCAUAUUUAAAAGUUGUUAGUUAAGUUGAAUAGUUGUACUAUUUUUUGUUAUAAUUAUUUAACCUAUGUGAUCCUUUAUCAGAAAUAAAUUAUUAUUGCCUUCAUGAAUAA